rnacentral:rRNA from 1 species
UGCAAGUCGAGGGGCAGCAUCAUCAAAGCUUGCUUUGAUGGAUGGCGACCGGCGCACGGGUGAGUAACACGUAUCCAACCUGCCGACAACACUGGGAUAGCCUUUCGAAAGAAAGAUUAAUACCGGAUGGCAUAAUUAUUCCGCAUGGGAUAAUUAUUAAAGAAUUUCGGUUGUCGAUGGGGAUGCGUUCCAUUAGGCAGUUGGCGGGGUAACGGCCCACCAAACCUACGAUGGAUAGGGGUUCUGAGAGGAAGGUCCCCCACAUUGGAACUGAGACACGGUCUAAACUCCUACGGGAGGCAGCAGUGAGGAAUAUUGGUCAAUGGACGAGAGUCUGAACCAGCCAAGUAGCGUGAAGGAUGACUGCCCUAUGGGUUGUAAACUUCUUUUAUACGGGAAUAAAGUGAGCCACGUGUGGCUUUUUGUAUGUACCGUAUGAAUAAGGAUCGGCUAACUCCGUGCCAGCAGCCGCGGUAAUACGGAGGAUCCGAGCGUUAUCCGGAUUUAUUGGGUUUAAAGGGAGCGUAGGCGGGUUGUUAAGUCAGUUGUGAAAGUUUGCGGCUCAACCGUAAAAUUGCAGUUGAUACUGGCGACCUUGAGUGCAACAGAGGUAGGCGGAAUUCGUGGUGUAGCGGUGAAAUGCUUAGAUAUCACGAA